rnacentral:rRNA from 1 species
AUUGAACGCUGGCGGCAUGCUUUACACAUGCAAGUCGAACGGUAACAGGCCGCAAGGUGCUGACGAGUGGCGAACGGGUGAGUAAUGCAUCGGAACGUGCCCAGUCGUGGGGGAUAACUACUCGAAAGAGUAGCUAAUACCGCAUACGAUCUAUGGAUGAAAGCGGGGGACCGUAAGGCCUCGCGCGAUUGGAGCGGCCGAUGUCAGAUUAGGUAGUUGGUGGGGUAAAGGCUCACCAAGCCAACGAUCUGUAGCUGGUCUGAGAGGACGACCAGCCACACUGGGACUGAGACACGGCCCAGACUCCUACGGGAGGCAGCAGUGGGGAAUUUUGGACAAUGGGCGCAAGCCUGAUCCAGCAAUGCCGCGUGCAGGAAGAAGGCCUUCGGGUUGUAAACUGCUUUUGUACGGAACGAAACGGCUCUGGUUAAUACCCCGGGCUAAUGACGGUACCGUAAGAAUAAGCACCGGCUAACUACGUG